rnacentral:misc_RNA from 1 species
UGACCMAAAUAGACCGUGCACACGUUAUCCAUCCCGCCGAUGGCGGCAUUGCUCGCCAUCCGGCCAAGUYCCCGACCACCUYCCCUYCUYGGAAGGGGGGCCGGGGCAACAGAACCCACGGCGCCGACGGCGUCAAGGAACACUAUGCCUAACCCGAGGGUGUGGCUGGCUUGCUAGCCGCCCCUCGUGUUGCACUAUCUAAUCCAUACGACUCUCGGCAACGGAUAUCUCGGCUCUCGCAUCGAUGAAGAACGUAGCGAAAUGCGAUACCUGGUGUGAAUUGCAGAAUCCCGCGAACCAUCGAGUCUUUGAACGCAAGUUGCGCCCGAGGCCACCCGGCUGAGGGCACGCCUGCCUGGGCGUCACGCCAAUACACGCUCCCACAACCCUCAUUGGGUUGAGGGAUGCGGAUUCUGGCCCUCCGUGCCGUGAGGCACGGCGGGCCGAAGAUUGGGCUGCCGGCGUAUCGUGCCGGACACAGCGCGUGGUGGACUUCUACUCAGCGCAGUGCAUUCGGCAUGUAGCCGGCGCAGCGGCCCCAAGGACCCAACGAACGGAGCGCA